rnacentral:rRNA from 1 species
GGGGGGGGGGGGCGGGGGGCGGGGGGCGUGGGGGGCGAGCGGGGGAAGGGAGGUUGCUCCUGGGUUGAGCGGCGGACGGGUGAGUAAUGCCUAGGAAGCUGCCUGGUAGUGGGGGAUAACGUCCGGAAACGGGCGCUAAUACCGCCUACGUCCUGAGGGAGGAAGUGGGGGAUCUUCGGACCUCACGCUAUCAGAUGAGCCUAGGUCGGAUUAGCUAGUUGGUGGGGUAAAGGCCUACCACGGCGACGAUCCGUAACUGGUCUGGGAGGAUGAUCAGUCACACUGGAACUGAGACACGGUCCAGACUCCUACGGGAGGCAGCAGUGGGGAAUAUUGGACAAUGGGCGAAAGCCUGAUCCAGCCAUGCUGCGUGUGUGAAGAAGGUCUUCGGAUUGUAAAGCACUUUAAGUUGGGAGGAAGGGCAGUAAGUUAAUACCUUGCUGUUUUGACGUUACCAACAGAAUAAGCACCGGCUAACUUCGUG